CGACGUGAGUAAUCUGCCUUGGAGUGGGGAAUAACGGCUGGAAACAGCCGCUAAUACCGCAUGAAACAGUUGGGAGGCAUCUCUCUGACUGUCAAAGAUUUAUCGCUCUGAGAUGAGCUCGCGUCUGAUUAGCUAGUUGGCGGGGCAACGGCCCACCAAGGCGACGAUCAGUAGCCGGCCUGAGAGGGUGGACGGCCACAUUGGGACUGAGACACGGCCCAAACUCCUACGGGAGGCAGCAG
rnacentral:rRNA from 1 species